rnacentral:rRNA from 1 species
AGCUCCAAUAGCGUAUAUUAAAGUUGUUGCGGUUAAAAAGCUCGUAGUUCAUUUUCUGCUGAGGUCGAUCGGUCCGCCCUCUGGGUGAGUAUCUGGUUUUGCCUUGGCAUUUUCUUGGGGAACAUGGCUGCACUUGACUGUGUGGCGUGGUACCUAAGGUGUUUACUUUGAGGAAAUCAGAGUGCUUCCAGCAGGCUUUCGCCUUGAAUACAUUAGCAUGGAAUAAUAAUAUAAGGCUUUGGUUU